rnacentral:siRNA from 1 species
AAGUACCGAGUUAGGAAAAAAAAAC